GCCAAGGCUGUCUGCCUCAAAACUAGAGCUAUUCAGGGCUGUAAUUUGCGGAAAGCAUUUAGCUCUUUAUCUUUUCCUUACAUGACUUAUUUGUGAAUGGGCUUGGAUUUUUCCAAAUCUGUUUGAACUGACUUGGGGAAUGGCUUAAGUGGGUGCACACAGGUCUGAUCUCUGUCUUGCAGUGAGCACUUUGAGGAGGAAUUGGUUACCUAAAGGUUGUAGGGCCUCUGACCUUGUGGCUGAAACUGUUUUCAACAGGAACAGGGCUGGUAGGUCACUGGGUCAGUUCAUUUCAAGAUGGCCAUGUUAGCACUUCAGGCACAGGUAUAUGUGCAAAUGCUUUUGCAUGAGUGUUUGCAAGGCUUUUGCUCUUGUGAACAGCUCAUUGGAUAAAAUAACCAUGGUUAUGUGAAGGCUAACAGAAAAUAAAGCCUCACAGACACUAAUCAAAAUUAGCCCGUGGUUUGUGUUUACAAACGUAUGUUUGUAAGUUAGAUUUGGCCCAGCUGCAAUGGCCCCUUGGAGUUUGUUCUGUGCGCCCUCUCCCUCUACUCUUGUUAUGAUAAAUGUUCCCUCUGACUUUCUCUCAGCUUUCCCCAUUCCCUUUCUGGGUCACUCCAAAUUCAAGUGUCUCCCGCAUAGAAAGAAAAAGAACAAACUCACUCAAGUGCCUCUAAAUGGUUUAAUUUAAAAGUGAUAUAUAUGGAUAUUAGAGUUUUCAUAGGCAGUAGGGGCCUGUUGAUUUCAAGGCAGUGCCAAAAGCAGAGUGUUGGGAGCAAUGGGCAAGAAAGAUGCAGGAGUAAGCAGCAGUGGAGAGGAGAGUUAGUCACUGGGCAAGAAGUGGCUGGCAGGUUGGUUGAUCUCGUAUGGUGAGCUUUAAAUUAAGUUCAUCGGGGGAUGAGGAUGCAGAGGUGCAGGAGGACACUUGGACAUCAAGCCAGGUGAUGUGAGCAAGAACAACCCAGAUACUCAUCCUUCUUCACCAUCCCAGGGAGAGCUGAAUGUGGAGACAGUGUGGAAUUUCUCUAUGCAGGACAAG